CCGCUUGGCUGGGCGCUGCCAGGGAUGCUCUCUGUCCAGUUUGGAACGCUGCAGGAAAGGAGUGGCUGGGCUGGAGCGACUCCCCAAGAGAACAAUGGCGAUGAUGGAGGCGAGAUGUUUCAGGGGAAGAGAUGGGCCAAACGGGCUGUUAGCCAUCGGCGAGCGGAGGGGAAGGAAGGGUGAAGGAAGGAGGAGCGAAAGGAAGAACGAGCCCGCCCGCUGCCCGAGGCUGCAGCGCCGAGCGGGGCGGUGGCGCCGGGCGCCCCCCGGUGGCAGCAGCGCGGCAGCGGCGCGGGCCGGGCCCUGCGCCGGCCCGUCUGUCUGUCCGUCAGCUCGUCUGUCUGUCCGUCUGUCCGGGCCGCUGGAAUUCCCCCGGGGGCGGGGCCGGAACAUGUCCGGCCUGGCGCAUCCAGCCCCCUGCCUCCCCGCCCCAGGCCCCGCCGCGGCACGCACCGUGUGCGGUGUUCAAUGCUCUCCUGCGCUACCACCGCCCCGAAAAAUCCUUCAUCCACUGCGGGGCUGAUUCUAGAAGCAGCUGGCACUCAUUCUGCCCAGUUUUGCCAUUUUGC
rnacentral:lncRNA from 12 species